ensembl:lncRNA
CUGGGGUGAAACUCGGAGCAUUCUCAUUCAGUCCCCGGAGGAGGACUUCCUGCUCCUUGGUCAGGUUCCCUGUGGAGGCCCCACCAGGCAGGGAGCAUCCCUGGAAGAAUCCCUUGUAGAGAUCUGGAUCUGGAAACCGAAUUGCCUGGAGGGAGGCAGGCCUCAGGACAUCAUUUACUGGCAUGGACAGUAGCAGAGACUGCACAGUUCUGCAGCCAGCAGCUUCUGAUGCAGUGGCUGCCUGCCGAUGGGAGCAGCGUUCCUGGUCAUAGCAGACGUGAUGAAUUUGGC